rnacentral:rRNA from 1 species
GCGCGAAAACUUGGCAAUGCGAGAAAUCGUGACCAGGGAACUCCAAGUGGCAGGGGUAAGACCCUGUCUUUUUCCGACUCUAAAUAGGUCGGCGAAUAAGGGGUGGGUAAGGACGGUGCCAGCCGCCGCGGUAAUACCGGCGCCUCAAGUGGUAGUCGCUUUUAUUGGGCCUAAAACGUCCGUAGCCGGUCUGGUACAUUCGUGGGUAAAUCAACUCGCUUAACGAGUUGAAUUCUGCGAGGACGGCCAGACUUGGGACCGGGAGAGGUGUGGGGUACUCUCAGGGUAGGGGUAAAAUCCUGUCAUCCUGAGAGGACCACCUGUUGCGAAGGCUCCACACUAGAACGGAUCCGACGGUCAGGGACGAAGCCUAGGGGCACGAACCGG